GACGAACGCUGGCGGCGUGCUUAACACAUGCAAGUCGAACGAAGUGGCGAACGGGUGAGUAACGCGUAAUCAACCUGCCCUUCAGAGGGGGACAACAGUUGGAAACGACUGCUAAGAACGAAUACUGACGGGGGGGAUUGCGUCUGAUUAGCUAGUUGGAUGGGUAACGGCCCACCAAGGCGAUGAGCAGUAGCCGGUCUUGGAGGAUGAACGGCCACAUUGGGACUUGGACACGGCCCAGACUCCUACGGGAGGCAGCAGUGGGGAAUCUUCCGCAAUGGACGACAGUCUGACUGAGCAACGCCGCGUGAGUGAUGACGGCCUUCGGGUUGUAAAGCUCUGUUAAUCGGGACGCGGUACCGGAAUAGAAAGCCACGGCUAACUACGUGCCAGCAGCCGCGGUAAUAC
rnacentral:rRNA from 1 species